AUGUACCACGCGUACACUCCGGCUCCGAGCCCGCCGUCCGCCGUCCGCACCCACCUGACGACCGCUCGCUACGUUUUAUUAGCC
rnacentral:sRNA from 1 species